rnacentral:lncRNA from 1 species
AGAAAUAUGAUCAUCGUUGUAACAUCCCAAAUUUUCCAAACCAUUGCAUAUGCAUUGCACUCAUGAGCAUCAUGCCACAAUUGCAUAUUUGAAUUCAAAUUUGAAUCUCAAAAGGCUUUAAAAGAUUUAUUUCAAUUUAAACCUUAGGGUUUUCACCCAUUUGAGCUUGGGAUCUUCAAACCAAUAGGGUUGAUUUAUAAAAAGGGUUUAUUGCAUAAAUAAGCUAUCCCAUAAUUUUUGGAUAAUUAUUUGGUGUUGAAAACUAUUUUAUUUAAAUAGUUAUAUAGCCCUAAAGGCAUUUAUAGGGCAAAUGUAUUUUUAGAUAUUAUAUUUUGAGGGGAAACUACUCCCAGAAGUUGAAUCAUGAUAAAACAUGAUUUAACAAAUUUUCUGAAAUUUAUUUGGGCCAAUUUGGAGUUCAAAAUCAAAAGAUAUCAAAGAAAUGAGAAAAAGGAAAAAGAAAGGCUAAAAGAAAACAAAAAGAAGAAACCGGACUGGCCCAACACACCACGCGCGCCCGAACCGGACCGAGCCGGCCCCCCAUGCCGCGCACGCCCGCAGCCUCUGACAGGUGGGGCCCCCCUGUCAGGGUGUUCGUCCCCGGUGGAAACCGCCCGCGCCACCCGCCGAGUCCGCGCCAGACUCCCUGCCACCGCAAUCUCCGGGAUCCGUCUCUCCCGACCUUCCCGAAGCAAGCAGAGCGCACCCCUAUAAAGCCCCGCUCCUCCUCUCUUCUUUCCCCCUCUUGCUUCCCCG